UCGAGAAUCAUUCACAAUGGGGGAAACCCUGAUGGUGCGACGCCGCGUGGGGGAAUGAAGGUCUUCGGAUUGUAAACCCCUGUCAUGUGGGAGCAAAUUAAAAAGAUAGUACCACAAGAGGAAGAGACGGCUAACUCUGUGCCAGCAGCCGCGGUAAUACAGAGGUCUCAAGCGUUGUUCGGAAUCACUGGGCGUAAAGCGUGCGUAGGCGGUUUCGUAAGUCGUGUGUGAAAGGCGGGGGCUCAACCCCCGGACUGCACAUGAUACUGCGAGACUAGAGUAAUGGAGGGGGAACCGGAAUUCUCGGUGUAGCAGUGAAAUGCGUAGAUAUCGAGAGGAACACUCGUGGCGAAGGCGGGUUCCUGGACAUUAACUGACGCUGAGGCACGAAGGCCGGGGGAGCGAAAGGG
rnacentral:rRNA from 1 species